rnacentral:rRNA from 1 species
GAUGAACGCUGGCGGCGUGCCUACACAUGCAAGUCGAACGGAGUCCAGCCUUUAAGACCUUCGGGUCAAAGAGGGGAAGACUGAGUGGCGGACGGGUGAGUAACACGUGGGCAACCUGGCUCAUAGAGGGGGAUAACAGAGAGAAAUUUCUGCUAAUACCGCAUAAGCACACACUGCCGCAUGGCAGAGGGUGAAAAGAGAAUCGCUAUGAGAUGGACCCGCGUCUGAUUAGCCAGUUGGCAGGGUAAGAGCCUACCAAAGCGACGAUCAGUAGCCGAUCUGAGAGGAUGAACGGCCACAUUGGGACUGAGACACGGCCCAAACUCCUACGGGAGGCAGCAGUGGGGGAUAUUGCACAAUGGGGGGAACCCUGAUGCAGCGACGCCGCGUGAGUGAAGAAGUAUUUCGGUAUGUAAAGCUCUAUCAGCAGGGAAGAUAAUGACAGUACCUGAAUAAGAAGCCCCGGCUAACUACGUG